GAUGAACGCUGGCGGCGUGCCUAAUACAUGCAAGUCGAGCGAACGGACGAGAAGCUUGCUUCUCUGAUGUUAGCGGCGGACGGGUGAGUAACACGUGGAUAACCUACCUAUAAGACUGGGAUAACUUCGGGAAACCGGAGCUAAUACCGGAUGAUAUUUUGAACCGCAUGGUUCAAAAGUGAAAGACGGUCUUGCUGUCACUUAUAGAUGGAUCCGCGCUGCAUUAGCUAGUUGGUAAGGUAACGGCUUACCAAGGCAACGAUGCAUAGCCGACCUGAGAGGGUGGUCGGCCCCACUGGAACUGAGACACGGUCCAAAAUCCUAAGGGAGGCAACAGUAAGGGAUCUUGCGGAAUUGGCGGAAGCCUGACGGAGCCACGGCGCGUGAGCGAUGAAAGUCUUCGGAUUGUUAAACUCUGUUAUUAGGGAAGAACAUAUGUGUAAGUAACUGUGCACAUCUUGACGGUACCUAAUCAGAAAGCCACGGCUAACUACGUG
rnacentral:rRNA from 1 species